ensembl:lncRNA
UGUGUGUGUGUGCGUGUGUGCGCGUGUGUGUGUGUGUGUGUGUGUGUGUGUGUGUGUGUGUGUCUGCAACAGCAGCACAUGCCCUGUGUAGAGGAAAGACUCUUCUUUAUCUGAGAUCAAGCCAGGGGAGACCACAGGUGCACACAGCAAGGCUCUGAGGCUCCAACUGGAGCUUGGUACUGGAGUUCCUCAUCCUCCCCCAUCCCCCACAGUCACACCCACUUGCUAACCAAAGAGCUGAAGUGAAACAAAGAAACACUUCCCCCUUCUAGAAACAGGGCUCAGUCAGAGAGAAUCCCUGAAGAACCCAAAGUGGAUUUAAGAAGUUUCUGCUCUCAUCUUUAAAGAAGGAAUCUGGGAAGCUUGUCGAGGUGGACUCUCAGUGUAUAGGAGGAAGAGGCAAGAGAAUUGUUAGUUCUUUGCCAGCCUGGACUCCAUGAAGAGUAUCUCAGAGAGGAAAUAGAUUUUGAGAAAUGCUUGCUACUACUUCUGGAUUAGUAAAACCACACAUGCCGCUUGUAUUUCUUCUCUGGAUACUUGGAAAUGGAUGGCAUCCUGUGGACACUUGGCACGAAUAAAACUCGAUUGGACUAUGGACUGAUACUGCCUACCUCAAAGGUUGUGAGAUUUAUCAUCACCAUCACCACCACCACCACCACCACCACCACCACCACCAUCAUCAUUUUGGGGACAGUGUCUCACUAUGUAGUGCUAGCUGGCCUGGAAUUAGCUGCAUAGACCAGGCUUGUGGGGUACGUGGACCAUGAUGCCAGACAAAAGAACUGGCAAAGUUGAAGCAGGUUCAAACCCCCGCUUAUCUCACAAUUGAGAACGCUAGGCAUAGAACUACCUCUCAGACAGGCGCUACAUGGAACAGGUGACCAUGACACUCUAUUGAGAGGACCAUGACAACCAGUCACAUAGGGACAGCACCUGAAGUCCUUCCCCAUGCAAAUAAAGCAUCCCUAACAUCCCAGACUGAGCCGAAGGGGAGCAUCUACCCCGGGGAUCCCACCUUAUCCCCAGGAUGUUUAUAAGGCUUCUCUCCACAUGGAAUAAAGUACGUGAGUUAUUUCACCCGGAAUUGCCUGAGGGCAGCUGUCCUAAUGAGCUGUAACACCCUGGAGAAGAGUUUUCUCUUCCGGAGCUUUGGUCGAGGUAUCUCAGCUUCGCCCAGCAGGAAAACACGGAGGUUGUCGGGAUGUCUCCUUAUUCAUUCAGGAUUCUCAGCAAUAGCCUGAUCACUGAAUACAGAAGGGGAAAGCAGACAUCUGAUAACUGCAUGGAAAUAAAAUCUGAAGAUCACUCCUUCUAGAGGUCAUGCCACUGCUGAAUCGUGUUCGCUAUCCCGCACUACGGCACUCGACUGCUGGUGUAUCUGUGAAGUGUUUGCGAGUGGAUCGAGCUGCCGCUGCUGACCUGUGAACUGACCUACUGAUUUCCUGACAACACAGAUGGAAUUUGCUCCAAAGAACCUUUCUAAACAGGUCCUCUUCCCCCAUAUCCUUUCUUUUCCACUCUCCCUGGUGGGUGGUGGGCUAGAAGGGAGGUUAAAGCAUUUAAGAACCAUCAUUAAAAAUAAGCAUUUGAAAAAAAGUAAAGUGAUAGUACCCAGUUGUGCACCCACUGGUAAGUUCAUCAUAUCUUAAAGGAUAGUUCCAAACCCAAAGUUAUUCAGGUGGGAUAAACUCUGUGGGUCACACACACACACACACACACACACACACACACACACACAAGUAAUAAAUACGGAAAAAAGAUCUGUAAGGAGCAGGGCAGGCAGGGAUGAGGGGCUUAAGAAUAGAAGGGGAAAGAGUCACCAGAAUGCAUUUUAUACAUACAGGAAACUGUUUAAAAAUUUUUAUUAAUACGAAUUAUUUUAAAGGUUUCAGAAUUGCUAAGCCAUAGCACCAAAAUAAACAAAGCAG